rnacentral:rRNA from 1 species
UACGUAGGGGGCAAGCGUUAUCCGGAUUUACUGGGUGUAAAGGGAGCGUAGACGGAAUUGCAAGUCUGAUGUGAAAAUCCGGGGCCCAACCCCGGAACUGCAUUGGAAACUGUAUUUCUAGAGUGUCGGAGAGGCAAGUGGAAUUCCUGGUGUAGCGGUGAAAUGCGUAGAUAUCAGGAGGAGCCCCAGUGGCGAAGGCGGCUUGCUGGACGAUGACUGACGUUGAGGCUCGAAAGCGUGGGGAGCAAACAGG